rnacentral:rRNA from 1 species
GAUGAACGCUGGCGGCGUGCCUAAUACAUGCAAGUCGAGCGAACGGACGAGAAGCUUGCUUCUCUGAUGUUAGCGGCGGACGGGUGAGUAACACGUGGAUAACCUACCUAUAAGACUGGGAUAACUUCGGGAAACCGGAGCUAAUACCGGAUAAUAUUUUGAACCGCAUGGUUCAAAAGUGAAAGACGGUCUUGCUGUCACUUAUAGAUGGAUCCGCGCUGCAUUAGCUAGUUGGUAAGGUAACGGCUUACCAAGGCAACGAUGCAUAGCCGACCUGAGAGGGUGAUCGGCCACCCUGGAACUGAGACACGGUCCAGACUCCUACGGGAGGCAGCAGUAGGGAAUCUUCCGCAAUGGGCGAAAGCCUGACGGAGCAACGCCGCGUGAGUGAUGAAGGUCUUCGGACCGUAAAACUCUGUUAUUAGGGAAGAACAUAUGUGUAAGUAACUGUGCACAUCUUGACGGUACCUAAUCAGAAAGCCACGGCUAACUACGUG